GACCGCACCGGUGGUCUAGUGGUUAGAGCAUCCGCUUCGUAUGUAGGAGGUCGUGGGUUCGAAUCCCAGGUUGAGUCA